GAAGUCCAGUGAAUAUAUUGCUGCCAUCCUGGAGCUCAGUGCCCUAGUGGCCAAAAGGCACCAGCAGCCUUUGCUGUUCAUGGACCUGCUGUACAAUCUCACCCCUGAUGGGAUGCGCUUCCAUAAGGCCUGCAACCUGGUGCAUGAAUUCACUGAUGCCGUCAUCCGGGAGCGGCGCCGCACCCUCCCAGAUCAGGGUUUGGAUGAGUUUCUCAAGUCUAAGGCCAAGUCCAAGACUUUGGAUUUCAUUGAUGUGCUGCUCCUGACCAAGGAUGAAGAUGGAAAGGAGCUGUCGGAUGAGGACAUCAGAGCAGAGGCCGACACCUUCAUGUUUGAGGGCCAUGACACCACAGCCAGUGGGCUCUCCUGGAUUCUAUACAACCUGGCGAAGCACCCAGAGUACCAGGAGCGCUGCCGGCAGGAAGUUCAGGAGCUUCUGAGGGACCGAGAUCCUGAGGAGAUUGAAUGGGACGACCUGGCCCAGCUGCCCUUCCUGACCAUGUGCAUCAAGGAGAGUCUGCGGCUGCACCCCCCAGUCACGGUCAUCUCCCGAUGCUGCACCCAGGACAUUCUGCUCCCAGAUGGCAGGACCAUUCCCAAAGGUGCCAUACGGGGAAAGGGGUCCUGGGCAAGCAACGGAGUCUUGUCGUGAAUCUUGCCUCUUCUCUCACAGGUAUCAUCUGCCUUAUCAGUAUCUUUGGAAUUCAUCACAACCCGUCUGUGUGGCCGGACCCUGAGGUCUACAACCCCUUCCGCUUUGACCCUGAAAACAUCAAAGACAGCUCACCUCUGGCAUUUAUUCCCUUCUCGGCGGGGCCCAGGAACUGCAUAGGUCAGACUUUCGCCAUGAGCGAGAUGAAGGUGGCGCUGGCACUAACACUGCUGCGCUUCCGACUCC
rnacentral:lncRNA from 1 species